AAUAAUCUGAGCCCACCUACUUUAUACGGUGAAAAUCGGCUUGUUUAUCCUCUCCAAAAUCACGGUACAAUUUAGUCGGGCGCUCUCUCCUUCCUUUCCAAACGCAGCCGCUCUCUUUUCUCCAGGUUCCCCUCCCUCUGUUCUUCUUCUUUGUUUCCCCUCCCUUUGUAAUUCCCCCUCCUUCCCACAAAUCCCAUAACCCAAUUCCUCCGCCAGCUAUCCAACUACCCCGAUGAUUUUCGAUGACGCUGCAUCAAUCAAUCCCGGUCACAACACACUUCACAGAGUUGGACAACCCGACGGAGACGGUAGCCCACUGCAAAUCUCCUCGGUAACACCCAUCGAUUAUGUUCCGCCGUUGCUCUCUUCUUCACCAUUAUUGCCAGCAAUGGCAAUUUCUCCUAUCAAGGCACAUUUGAACGAUUUGUUGGCAACGACAAUUCCAACCAGCAUGCAAGGUUUUGUUUUUCCUCUAAGAAACGCAGGAACCACCAAAAUUGCAGCCCUCUUUCCACUUGCAGAGCAACACACCAAUGAUUCCAUCAACCUUAAGGAGUAUGGAAAUUACUAGAGCUUCAACUCAAAGAUUAUACGCCUCUGUAUGCUUCCCUCAAUGCAUACGAACACCACAAAGCAUAGACAUGAGGUAUUGACAUCCUUGGUUUUCAAUUUUACAAAAUGGAAGGACAAAUGGUGUUGGAUUUUGAAGUUUAUUUUGCCAUAUUAUACUAAUGUUAUUCUAAUCAUAUCUGAAGACUUCUUGACUAAUAAAUGUGGAUGGGUUAAUUGGUAUCUUGUGGGAAAAUUUUUGAAAAAAAAGAUUGUUAUGCA